GACGAACGCUGGCGGCGUGCUUAACACAUGCAAGUCGAACGGAAAGGCCCUGCUUUUGUGGGGUGCUCGAGUGGCGAACGGGUGAGUAACACGUGAGUAACCUGCCCUUGACUUUGGGAUAACUUCAGGAAACUGGGGCUAAUACCGGAUAGGAGCUCCUGCUGCGUGGUGGGGGUUGGAAAGUUUCGGCGGUUGGGGAUGGACUCGCGGCUUAUCAGCUUGUUGGUGGGGUAGUGGCUUACCAAGGCUUUGACGGGUAGCCGGCCUGAGAGGGUGACCGGCAACAUUGGGACUGAGAUACGGCCCAGACUCCUACGGGAGGCAGCAGUGGGGAAUAUUGCACAAUGGGCGGAAGCCUGAUGCAGCAACGCCGCGUGCGGGAUGACGGCCUUCGGGUUGUAAACCGCUUUCGCAUGUGACGAAGCGUGAGUGACGGUAAUGGGUAAAGAAGCACCGGCUAACUACGU
rnacentral:rRNA from 1 species